GAUACAACACAGGGUUGUUAUGGUGGAUACAACACAGGGUUGUUAUGGUGGAUACAAAUACAACACAGGGUUGUUAUGGUGGAUACAACACAGGGUUGUUAUGGUGGAUACAACACAGGGUUGUUAUGGUGGAUACAACACAGGGUGGUUAUGGGGUUAAUUCCAUUUCAAAUCCAGUCAAUUCAGAAAUUAUUCAGAAAUUUCAAUUCCAACUCUCUUCAAUGAGGAAAAUUUGGAAUUGAAUUUGGGUUUAUUUUCUGAAUGAACUGGAAUUGAUAUGAAAUGAACCAAAACCCUAAUUGUCCCUGUAAGUCUAUGAUAACAUUGUUGUCCUCUACAGAGUUCUAGAACCAGAACUAACAGGGCAGGGUUCUGGAGUCUGGUGAUGAGUAGUAGUCUUCUUUGAUUGGUUAGAUGGAUGAAGCUGGUAGACUUUAACCCAAUCAUAAUAAUUUACAUGUUAAGACAGGACAGUAAGCUCAGAGUUCCAUUUCCAGGUAAGAGUUCCAGGUGUCCAUGGUUAUGGAGCAGGAUGUUUGUACAUGUAUGGCAGAGUAUCCAUGGUUACAGAGCAUGGUUAUGGAGCAGUCUGUAUGUACAUGUAUGGCUGAGUAUCCAUGGUUACAGAGCAGUAUAUACAUGUAUGGCUGAGUAUCCACGGUUACGGAGCAGCCUACAUGUACAUGUAUGGCUGAAUAUCCAUGGUUACGGAGCAGCAGUAUGUAUGUAUGUACAUGUAUGGCUGACUAUCCAUGGUUACGGAGCAGUAUAUACAUGUAUGGCUGAGUAUCCAUGGUUACGGAGCAGUAUGUAGGUACACGUAUGGCUGAGUGUCCAUGGUUACGGAGCAGAAUAUCCAUGUAUGGCUCAGUAUUGAGAGUCGUGUACUGUACAGUCAAGGCUAUGGGUCUGGACCGUCUGGUGAUCUGUAGAGUUCAGGGGUCAGGAGCGUUGUCAGUCGACGUCACUCCAACCCAACACUAGUCCCGCGAUCGACAGGCAAAACGUUGCUCUAUCUGAUGUAGGACGAUGCGGCUGGUUGGCCUAUAGAGGAAAGGGAAAGGAGGGCGUGGUGUUGUGUUGUGUACACGGCUGUGAGUUAAAUUAACCCUCCUGGGAACAUCUAAAAUCCCACCUUAUUCCUAUGUAAUGCAAUACUUUUGGCACAAGUCUGGCCAAAAAUAGUGCCAAAUAUAGGGAAUAGGGUGCAAUUUGGGACAUAACCCUAGAGAGCCCAGAAAUUGAGCAGCCUGGUGCCUUUCUGAGUACCAAAUGGCUCCGUAUUCCUUAUGUAGUGCACUAUAUAGGGAAUAGGGUUCUAUAAGGCUCUGGUCUAAUGUAGUGCACUAUAUAGGGAAUAGGGUUCUAUAGGGCUCUGGUUAAAACACUAUAUAGGGAAUAGGGUUCUAUAGGGCUCUGGUCUAAUGUAGUGCACUAUAUAGGGAAUAGGGUGUGGGCCCCAUAGGCCUGGUUCUAAAGUGGUGCAACGAGAUAGGGAUAGGGCGCUGGUCUAAUAGUG
rnacentral:lncRNA from 1 species